rnacentral:rRNA from 1 species
UACGGAGGGGGCUAGCGUUGUUCGGAAUUACUGGGCGUAAAGCGCACGUAGGCGGAUCAGCAAGUUAGGGGUGAAAUCCCGGGGCUCAACCCCGGAACUGCCUUUAAAACUGUUGGUCUGGAGGUCGAGAGAGGUGAGUGGAAUUCCGAGUGUAGAGGUGAAAUUCGUAGAUAUUCGGAAGAACACCAGUGGCGAAGGCGGCUCACUGGCUCGAUACUGACGCUGAGGUGCGAAAGCGUGGGGAGCAAACAGG